rnacentral:rRNA from 1 species
GACGAACGCUGGCGGCGUGCUUAACACAUGCCAGUCGAACGGAAAGGCCCUGCUUUUGUGGGGUGCUCGAGUGGCGAACGGGUGAGUAACACGUGAGUAACCUGCCCUUGACUUUGGGAUAACUUCAGGAAACUGGGGCUAAUACCGGAUAGGAGCUCCUGCUGCAUGGUGGGGGUUGGAAAGUUUCGGCGGUUGGGGAUGGACUCGCGGCUUAUCAGCUUGUUGGUGGGGUAGUGGCUUACCAAGGCUUUGACGGGUAGCCGGCCUGAGAGGGUGACCGGCAACAAUGGGCUGGAGAUGCGGACCAGACUGGGAGGGGGGGAAGCGGUGGGGAAUAUGGAAGAAUGAGCGGAGGGCUGAGGCAGCGCGGAGGCGGGCGGGAGGAGGGCCUGAGUGGUGUACACCGUGUGGGCGUGGGACGAGGGGGGGGGGAAGGUAAGGGGUAAAGAAGCACGGGAGAACGACGGGCGAGAAGCGGGGGUAAUGGUCGGAAGAGAUACGGAUGAAC